GAUGAACGCUAGCUACAGGCUUAACACAUGCAAGUCGAGGGGCAGCAUGGUCUUAGCUUGCUAAGGCCGAUGGCGACCGGCGCACGGGUGAGUAACACGUAUCCAACCUGCCGUCUACUCUUGGACAGCCUUCUGAAAGGAAGAUUAAUACAAGAUGGCAUCAUGAGUCCGCAUGUUCACAUGAUUAAAGGUAUUCCGGUAGACGAUGGGGAUGCGUUCCAUUAGAUAGUAGGCGGGGUAACGCCCCACCUAGUCUUCGAUGGGUAGGGGUGCUGGGAGGAAGGUCCCCCACAUUGGAACUGAGACACGGUCCAAACUCCUACGGGAGGCAGCAGUGAGGAAUAUUGGUCAAUGGGCGAGAGCCUGAACCAGCCAAGUAGCGUGAAGGAUGACUGCCCUAUGGGUUGUAAACUUCUUUUAUAAAGGAAUAAAGUCGGGUAUGGAUACCCGUUUGCAUGUACUUUAUGAAUAAGGAUCGGCUAACUCCGUG
rnacentral:rRNA from 1 species